GGAGGUACAGCUCAGUGGUAGAGCAGUUAUGUAGCACACAUGAUGUCCCUGGGUUCAAUCCCCAGUACCACAA
rnacentral:tRNA from 1 species